rnacentral:lncRNA from 1 species
UCCUGUCUUGAAUGAUGAUGUGAAAUGCCAUGAUUUUAUGCAUGUACAUUAAUGUUAUGCUUUGAUAUGUGAUGUAUGUGAUGCGGGUUCAUGUGUUUGCACAUGAACCAUUUGAUGCUAAUGUUCUAUGUGAUGUAUGUUGUUUUUCAGAAAACAGGAUGAGAGGAACUCGUCGAUCUGCACGAUUGACUGGAGUACCACCCCAGGACGAGGGCAUUGAUGCCCGUCCUCCUGCAUUGCCUAGGGCAAUAUCAAGUAGG